AGAUUGGUAGGACUACCCGCUGAACUUAA
rnacentral:rRNA from 1 species